rnacentral:rRNA from 1 species
AAACCGUUCAGGGGUAAACCUGAGAAACCCAAAAGAUCGAAUGGGGAGACUCAUCGUCAGCUGCGUUGGCUUGCGUGCGACUCGCGAUGCUCGUUGGCGUUUCGGCGUUUUCAACGGGUACGCGGUCGCUGCGUUAUGUCCGAUGUUGGUCGGCGUGCACUUCUCCCCUAGUAGGACGUCGCGACCCGUUGGGUGUCGGUCUACGGCCCGCGAGGUUGACUGACGAGCCGCGUUCACGCGCGCGCUUGUCAGACCCGCGGUUGCCCGGCCGACUGCCCGGCGGUAAAGAUCGCUAUUCGAAUGGUAUCGAGCCGCAUUUUGAAUGCGUUCAUUAUGGCUCGUCGGCAGGUGAGCCUCGCUUGAAUUUUACGGACCUAGCGCCGUUGUCGAGUGCUUGUCGCUUGCCGUUUCGCCGACGAUGUCCUCGGACGGGCUCUUGUAACGCGCUUUCGAGCGCGUUUACCGGUCGGCGACGCUUCUGCUUUGGG